UACGUAGGGUGCGAGCGUUGUCCGGAAUUAUUGGGCGUAAAGGGCUCGUAGGCGGUUUGUCGCGUCGGGAGUGAAAUCCACUGGCUUAACUGGUGGCUUGCUUUCGAUACGGGCAGACUGGAGGUAUGCAGGGGAGAACGGAAUUCCUGGUGUAGCGGUGAAAUGCGCAGAUAUCAGGAGGAACACCGGUGGCGAAGGCGGUUCUCUGGGCAUGUCCUGACGCUGAGGAGCGAAGGCCAGGGGAGCAAACGGG
rnacentral:rRNA from 1 species